CCCAGAGGACAAUGAGUGACUUCUUGACUUCCUAGGGGUGCUGUGGCUUUUGAGUUCUGAUGGUGACAAAAAUAUUUUGGCAGAGACUCGGUCUCAAAACAAAACUAAAGUGACCGCCUGCAUCCUCCAGGACAGGCCCCCAGGACUCAGUGACCUGCCGGCCGCGGUGCUUACCAGGCACGUUUCUGCCAUUGGGUUUCAGUUCAUGCUGAAGAAUCCGCCCAAAGGCAUUGUGUUCCACGCAGAAGGUAUGGUCCAGCAC